AUUGAACGCUGGCGGCAGGCCUAACACAUGCAAGUCGAGCGGAUGAAGGGAGCUUGCUCCUGGAUUCAGCGGCGGACGGGUGAGUAAUGCCUAGGAAUCUGCCUGGUAGUGGGGGAUAACGUCCGGAAACGGGCGCUAAUACCGCAUACGUCCUGAGGGAGAAAGUGGGGGAUCUUCGGACCUCACGCUAUCAGAUGAGCCUAGGUCGGAUUAGCUAGUUGGUGGGGUAAAGGCCUACCAAGGCGACGAUCCGUAACUGGUCUGAGAGGAUGAUCAGUCACACUGGAACUGAGACACGGUCCAGACUCCUACGGGAGGCAGCAGUGGGGAAUAUUGGACGAUGGGCGAAAGCCUGGUCCAGCCAUGCCGCGUGUGUGAAGAAGGUCUUCGGAUUGUAAAGCACUUUAAGUUGGGAGGAAGGGCAGUAAGUUAAUACCUUGCUGUUUUGACGUUACCAACAGAAUAAGCACCGGCUAACUUCGUG
rnacentral:rRNA from 1 species